AAUAGCUCAAUGGUAGAGCAUUCGGCUGUUAACCGAAGGGUUGUAGGUUCGAGCCCUACUU
rnacentral:tRNA from 2 species